GACAGAGGGAGCGAGCGUUGUUCGGAUUCAUUGGGCGUAAAGGGCAAGUAGGCGGUUCGUUAAGUCGGGUGUGAAAUCCCUCCGCUCAACGGAGGAACUGCAUUCGAAACUGGCGGGCUUGAGGGGUGGAGAAGCGAGCGGAAUUCUCGGUGUAGCGGUGGAAUGCGUAGAGAUCGAGAAGAACUCCAGUGGCGAAGGCGGCUCGCUAGACACCUCCUGACGCUGAACUGCGAAAGACAGGGGAGCAAACGGG
rnacentral:rRNA from 1 species